rnacentral:rRNA from 1 species
CCUACGGGUGGCAGCAGUGAGGAAUAUUGGUCAAUGGACGAGAGUCUGAACCAGCCAAGUAGCGUGAAGGAUGACUGCCCUAUGGGUUGUAAACUUCUUUUAUAUGGGAAUAAAACGUUCCACGUGUGGGAUUUUGUAUGUACCAUAUGAAUAAGGAUCGGCUAACUCCGUGCCAGCAGCCGCGGUAAUACGGAGGUUCCGAGCGUUAUCCGGAUUUAUUGGGUUUAAAGGGAGCGUAGGUGGAUUGUUAAGUCAGUUGUGAAAGUUUGCGGCUCAACCGUAAAAUUGCAGUUGAGACUGGCAGUCUUGAGUACAGUAGAGGUGGGCGGAAUUCGUGGUGUAGCGGUGAAAUGCUUAGAUAUCACGAAGAACUCCGAUUGCGAAGGCAGUUCACUGGACUGCAACUGACACUGAGGCUCGAAAGUGUGGGUAUCAAACAGGAUUAGAUACCCUUGUAGUC